CAAGGAACAUGCAACAAAACAGCUUGCAUUCGUCUCCCCGGUCACGGUGUGUGUGCGAAUGCUUAGCUGCAAUCUAAAGUCUAAAACGACUCUCGGCAACGGAUAUCUCGGCUCUCGCAUCGAUGAAGAACGUAGCGAAAUGCGAUACUUGGUGUGAAUUGCA
rnacentral:rRNA from 1 species